GAGGGGAUGAAUAUGGAGGGGAUGUGGAGGGGAUAUGGAGGGGAGGGGAUAUGGAGGGGAUGUGGAGGGGAUAUACAGGGGAUGUGGAGGGAAGAUAAGGGGAUGUGGAGGGGAGAUACAGGGGAUGUGGAGGGAAGAUAAGGGGAUGUGGAGGGAAGAUACAGGGGAUGUGGAGGGAAGAUACGGGGGAUGUGGAAGGGGAUCUGACGGGGGAUGUGGAAGGGGAUGUGGAGGGAGAUGGACAGGGGAUGUGGAGGGGAGAUACAGGGGAUGUGGAGGGAAGAUACAGAGGAUGUGGAGGGAAGAUAAGGGAUGAUGUGGAGGGAAGAUACAGGGGAUGUGGAGGGAAGAUACAGGGGAUGUGGAGGGAAGAUACGGGGGAUGUGGACAGGGGAUGUGGAGGGAUAUGGAGGGAUGUGGAGGGGAUAUGGAGGGGAGG
ensembl:lncRNA